UUCCUGGUGGUCCAGUGGUUAGGACUCUGUGCUUUCACUGUUGAGGACCCGGGUUCAAUCCCUGGUUGGGGAA
rnacentral:tRNA from 1 species